ensembl:lncRNA
AUGAGGAAAGCAGAAAGAAAUCUCCGCGGGAGAGACACCGGUGUGCCGCCGCCGCCGCCGCCGCCGCUUCUCUCGCCGCCCCGCCUGAGGAGAAGCGCAGCCGGGAACGCUGCUCUCGCCGUCGCCGCUAACGCUGCCGCCGCCGCCGCCGCGAAAGCCCCGAGCUGGAGGGUGCACGGCGUGUCCCCGGGCGGCUGCAGCGGGAGCCCGGGCACUGCCCCAUCCUCCGCCCGCCCGCCAGCCGCGCGCAGCACCCGCUCCUCCCCCUCCGCAGCCGGCCCACCGCCGCCGCCCGCCUCAGCCCAGCCCAGCGCCCGCCAGCUCGCUCGUGCAUUCGUUCGCUCGUGUGCGCGCGCUCCCGCGCACCCGCCCUCCCCGCGCCUCACUCGGCGCGCGCUCCCGCCCCCGCGGCCCCGGCCGGCGGGAUCACGUGGACGGCUGGGCUCCCUCCUCCCCCGCCCCCUCCCCAGUUGUAGAGUGUGUAGAAAGCAAAAGGCUGGGGGCUGGCCGCGCUCGCGAGCCCAGGGCAUGCGCGCUGGGGCGGCCGGGCCUGCGCACUGGGGGCGGUGGGGAGCCUCGAGGUGGGCGGGGGCGUGGAGGGGGCUGUCCGUGGAGGGGGCCGCCCGAGUGGGGUCGGCCGCGGCCGGGCACAGUUGGCGCGCGAGGGCGUGGAAGCCGCCGGAGGAUCCGGGCACUGGAAUUGAUCUAUACGGAUCAGAAAGACACCGACGGCCCGCUCUCAGCAGCCUCUAGGAUACUCUUCUCUUUCUGUCCCGGCACUUAAACAACGCGGCACCGUCACUCCUGCCUCCCUAGUAGCCCAAGCUCGUGGAACAAGAAAAGGAAGAUAAACUGACAUGUAUUAAUUAUUCGCAAUGGGCCAGGCACUGUGCUAGAACGUAUGAUUUCACCUCUUUAAAAUACAAAUCUGCACAUUUUAUUAAUAUUACUGGAAGGGGAAUGAUAGAGAAAACAUUGAGGACGUGUUUUCUCUCACAAUCUGACACAUCUGAUUGACUGAUUGAUUGAUUGUUUUUCAUUUAACAAUUAUUAGGCCUUACCAGGCUUAGGCACAGUUGUAGGUGCUCGGAAUACAGCGACGUACAAAACAGAAAAGAUACUGCCUGCUUCUUAGAUCUUACGUUCUAGCAGGCAAGCCUCACUUGUCUUAUAAUUCCUAAUAACAAUUUAAUAGUUUGUCAUUCUCUUGUUUUAGGUCACACUCCUUCACCUUCCCCAUUUCUGAAUCCCAGGUCUGGAUCUUUAUGAAAUCUGAUGGGGAGAUGGGAGGUGGGGGCGAGGACGGUAGCAAAAGGAACCAUCCACCCGACUGUGACUAAGAUAAGGUUUGUGCCUGUCCAGGAAACAAACCAUUUGACCUUAGGCAAGACUUUUAAAUGACUAUUUUUUUCAUCUGUAAAUCAAAGAGCUUCAAUUAAAUGUUCAAAAUGUUCCUUUUCAGGUCUACCCAUGGCCUUCUCAACAGAUGACUGGAAGUUGAUUUCGUACUUUAUUUCUUAAGAAUAGUGACUAACCUACAGGAUCUGAUUCAAUUUAUUAGGAACACAGUGCCACCUUCCAAAAUUACUUACCUAAGAGGACUGAGCCUGCUGUCUCUGGAGCAGUUAGCUGAAAUAGUGCCUCAGAACGGAGCGUACCUGCGUUAACUUCUAGAGUGCUGUUUUCCGGCAGCUGCUGAAAUCCACGCUGAGGUUAUCAAGCUCAUCCUACAAAAUAAAACAAGUUCUUUGCAAUUUAAAGCAAAAAUCUGGGCUCAUUUUUAGGGUUUGUGGGGGAUGUGAAAGUUGUCUUAGAUAAGAUUCCAGGAAAGCUAGGAAUUAAUAGUGUAAUUACAGUCACUUUUCAACAACUUUGGGGAUUCGGUUGAGGGAGGUGUGAAAUUGGGAAAUUUAAUAAAAGGUCUUAUAUUAGUGACUUUCUAGAGUAGCCUUUGGCAGUCCUGUCUUUAAAGAGUAAUAACUGGUAGGGAAAAAAAUGAAUGGUAAUACACUGCAUCCAAGAACCUUGCCUUUAGCGAGCAUAAUUUGCAAACGCAUUUUGGGAUAAUGUUCAGGGUCCAAGUGUAAUCCUCCCUGGAAUUAGCAAUGCCUUUUGGGUCAGAGUUUCAUAGAUUUCUUCCAUCAUACAAUUAAAAUUGUUUUGGGAUUAUAUUGCCCAUAUUUGUUUCUAAUUCUCCAUUUUGCCUGUUUUAAUUGCCAGUGAUUAAUAACUGCCAUAUAAUAAGCUAAGCAUUUAUUAUGUUUCAGGCACAGUUCUAACUGCAUUAAAAUAAUAUCCCAUUUAAUUCUCGUAAAGUUUGAGAAUGGUUUUAUUAUACCUAUUUUACAGUUGAGUAAACCGAGGCUUAAAGUUAAGCACAUUGUCCAAGGUGCCUCCACUGCUUAGUCAUAAGCUAAAUUUGAUCUGAAUGACUCCAAAACCUUUAUCUUAAUGCUUAUGCUGAAAUGCCAGUCUUAAACUGAUUCCUCAAGAAAUCAAAUGCUAUGUGUAUUGUACAACCACUUUGGAAAGCUGUUGGCAAUAUCUCUUAAACAUAUGAAAACCCUAUGGCCCAGCACUUCCAUGCUUAGGAAUAUACCAAUGUCAAAUGUAUACCAAAAGACUAUUAAAGCACUCAGAGCAACCCUGUUCCUAAUAACCCCCAAACGGGAAACAACCCAAAUGGUCAUAAACAGUAAAAGAGAUAAAUAAUUGGUGGUACGUUCAUACUACAGAAUACACUCUACAACACUAAGGAUGAACAGUCUGCUUCCAAAUGCAGUAAAACACGUGAACCUCACAAAAGCGACCAGCCUCUCUGGCUGGUGAAAGGGAGACGCACAAUUGCAGGAGCCCAUUUAUAUAAAGUACAGAAACAGACAAAAGUCACUGAUGCUCUUCAAAGUCAGGAUAGUGGUUCCCUUGAGAGAGAGCUGAUGUCUAGGAGAGAACACCAAUACGGCUUCUGGGGAGAUGAUCAUGUUGUUUCUUGAGCUGGGUACUUGUGUGUUCACUUUGUGAAAAUUCACUGAGCUGCACUAUUGAUAUAUGCAUCUCUGUGUAUGUAAAUCAUGCUUCAAUGAAAAGCUUUAAAAUGCUGUGUAUGUAUGAAUGCAUUAGGGUAUUGCUUGUGUAUAUAUGAGUACCUAUGUAAUACUUUGUUUUUUUAUAUUAAUGACACUACUCAAUGCUUAUCAAUAGUAAAAUAAAUAAAUAAGCUGUGGUUUAUUUGGGACAUAAAUGAAGCUGGAAGCCAUCAUUCUCAGCAAACUAACACAUGAAUAAAAAACCAGACACCGCAUGUUCUCACUCAUAAGUGGGAGUUUAACAAUAAGACCACAUGGACACAGGGAGGGGAACAUCACACACCGGAGCCUGUCAAGGUGCCGGGGGGGAAGGCGAGAGAGAGCAUUAGGACAAAUGCCUAAUGCAUGCAGGGCUUAAAACCUAGAUGACAGGUUGAUAGGUGCAGCAAACCACCAUGGCACAUGUAUACCUAUGUAACAAACCUGCACAUUCUACACAUGUAUACUAGAACUUAAAAUAAAAUUUAAAAAAAAA